UACAGAGGUCUCAAGCGUUGUUCGGAUUCAUUGGGCGUAAAGGGUGUGUAGGUGGCGCGCUAAGUCGGGUGUGAAAUUUCGGAGCUUAACUCCGAAACUGCAUUCGAUACUGGCGUGCUUGAGGACUGGAGAGGAGACUGGAAUUCAUGGUGUAGCAGUGAAAUGCGUAGAGAUCAUGAGGAAGACCAGUGGCGAAGGCGGGUCUCUGGACAGUUCCUGACGCUGAGGCACGAAGGUCAGGGGGGAGCAAACGGG
rnacentral:rRNA from 1 species